rnacentral:rRNA from 1 species
AGUGAACGCUGGCGGUAGGCCUAACACAUGCAAGUCGAACGGCAGCACAGUAAGAGCUUGCUCUUACGGGUGGCGAGUGGCGGACGGGUGAGGAAUACAUCGGAAUCUACCUUUUCGUGGGGGAUAACGUAGGGAAACUUACGCUAAUACCGCAUACGACCUACGGGUGAAAGCAGGGGAUCUUCGGACCUUGCGCGAUUGAAUGAGCCGAUGUCGGAUUAGCUAGUUGGCGGGGUAAAGGCCCACCAAGGCGACGAUCCGUAGCUGGUCUGAGAGGAUGAUCAGCCACACGGGAACUGAGACACGGCCCAGACUCCUACGGGAGGAAGCAGUGGGGAAUAUUGGACAAUGGGCGAAAGCCUGAUCCAGCCAUACCGCGUGGGUGAAGAAGGCCUUCGGGUUGUAAAGCCCUUUUGUUGGGAAAGAAAAGCAGCAGGUUAAUACCCCGCUGUUCUGACGGUACCCAAAGAAUAAGCACCGGCUAACUUCGUG